UAAUAAGUAUAUCCUCAAAUUAUUUUCUCACUGUAAACUUCAUGUUCGGUAUAAAAAGAAACAAGUUUUUUUUAAUAAUUUUUUUUAAGGAAAAUGUUAAGAGAUUUCUAACUAUAAUAAGCGGCGCUGUAACAAUUUUCCGUCGGGGUUUGAAAACGAACGGCGCGUUCGAGAGUGGCUCCGCAUUCACGACAUGCGGAAUCGAGAGCUGAGUCAACCGCCGGCCGGGACCUAUUUGCACUGCGUAGUGUUUAUACUAUUCCGCGUGUUUCAAUGUUGUUGCAAUGAGAGAUGCAGAAAACAAAUGGAGGUAGUUAAACCGAGGACCGCAGGGGGCAGUAUCUACGAUUUAUGUAUAAAGCUCGCUCCGUUGGGAAACCGGUAAGGUGUUGGGUCGCCGGUCGCUUCUCCGGGUUGUGCAGGGAUUACUGAUUUACCCAUCUAUUUUAUUACAAACCAAACAUAUUUAUAUUCAUAACAUUCAAUAAACAGAAACAUUUUUGA